rnacentral:tRNA from 1 species
GCACCGUUAGCUCAAUUGGCAGAGCAAGUGACUCUUAAUCACUAGGUUGAUGGUUCGAUUCCAUCACGGUGCA